GACGAACGCUGGCGGCGUGCUUAACACAUGCAAGUCGAACGGAAAGGCCCUGCUUUUGUGGGGUGCUCGAGUGGCGAACGGGUGAGUAACACGUGAGUAACCUGCCCUUGACUUUGGGAUAACUUCAGGAAACUGGGGCUAAUACCGGAUAGGAGCUCCUGCUGCAUGGUGGGGGUUGGAAAGUUUCGGCGGUUGGGGAUGGACUCGCGGCUUAUCAGCUUGUUGGUGGGGUAGUGGCUUACCAAGGCCUUGACGGGUAGCCGGCCUGAGAGGGUGACCGGGCACAUUGGGACUGAGAUACGGCCCAGACUCCUACGGGAGGCAGCAGUGGGGAAUAUUGCACAAUGGGCGGAAGCCUGAUGCAGCAACGCCGCGUGCGGGAUGACGGCCUUCGGGUUGUAAACCGCUUUCGCCUGUGACGAAGCGUGAGUGACGGUAAUGGGUAAAGAAGCACCGGCUAACUACGUG
rnacentral:rRNA from 1 species